CAAGCCUGAUGCAGCCAUGCCGCGUGUAUGAAGAAGGCCUUCGGGUUGUAAAGUACUUUCAGCGGGGAGGAAGGGAGUAAAGUUAAUACCUUUGCUCAUUGACGUUACCCGCAGAAGAAGCACCGGCUAACUCCGUG
rnacentral:rRNA from 1 species